rnacentral:rRNA from 1 species
UACGUAGGGUGCAGGCGUUAAUCGGAAUUACUGGGCGUAAAGCGUGCGCAGGCGGUUUCUUAAGUCACACGUGAAAUCCCCGGGCUUAACCUGGGAACUGCGUGUGAUACUGGAUGGCUUGAAUUCGGGAGAGGGAUGCAGAAUUCCAGGUGUAGCGGUGAAAUGCGUAGAUAUCUGGAGGAAUACCGGUGGCGAAGGCGGCAUCCUGGACCGACAUUGACGCUGAACGGCGAAAGCUAGGGGAGCAAACGGG